rnacentral:tRNA from 1 species
UCUAGUGUGGCAGAAAAGUGCAAUGAAUUUAAGCUUCAUAUAUAAAGAUUUAUCUUUCUCUAGAA